UUCCCUUUGUGAAAACAGACAUCGGUCUGGCUUGCGUAUAUCUGUCCCGCGCGACACCCAAUUCUUCUCCAUUUCAUAUCUUCCGUGGCAUUUCAAUUCCUCAAGUUAGAUCAAGCAUUUCCCUUUUCCUUUCUUCUUCUUAUCUCUGCCAAAAAAGAAAUUUAAAUUCUUCAGCAGAUCUCAUACGAAAAAGCAAAACCAAAGGUAAUGGCAGGGCUGUUCGGAUCGCAAUCCUCUACGGUUGCACCCAUGAUUGUCACCAGCACACCAUCCACAGAUCUCGCCUUGACUAAUUUUGCUUAUUGCUCCCCUUCCGAUCUUCAAAGCUUCGCCGUCCCUGGCUCCAAACUCUUCCUCGCUAACGUCGGGGAUGCCUUCGUUCUUUCUGUUUCUUCUCAUGAAAGCAUACGCAAUGGAUAUAUUGCACUAAAUGCUAUCCAUCGUCGCCUUGCAAAAGUUUCUAAUGGUGACAAUGUAUCAGUGAGCAGAUUUGUUCCCCCUGAAGAUUUUAACCUUGCAUUGCUUAGGGUUGAGCUAGAAUUUGUGAAGAAGGGUACUAAAAAUGAGCAGGUUGAUGCUGUUCUUCUGGCUAACCAGCUUAGAAAGAGGUUUAUCAAUCAGGUUAUGACAGCGGGGCAAAAGGUUACAUUUGAGUAUCAUGGUAAUAACUAUAUUUUCACAAUCAGUCAAGCUCAGCUGGAGGGGCAAGCAGCAGCUAAUGCUCCUGAAAGGGGGAUGAUUUCCAGUGAUACUUACUUUAUCUUUGACGCACAAAAUUCAAGUGGAAUAAAGGUUGUCAAUCAACGUGAAGCUGCUAGUAGUAAUAUCUUUAGGCACAAAGAGUUUAAUCUACAAUCACUAGGUAUUGGUGGCUUAAGUGCAGAGUUUGCCGAUAUAUUUCGAAGAGCUUUUGCCUCUCGUGUCUUUCCUCCACAUGUGACUAACAAGUUGGGAAUUAAGCAUGUUAAAGGGAUGCUACUUUAUGGACCUCCUGGUACUGGCAAAACUCUCAUGGCUCGUCAAAUUGGAAAGAUGUUGAAUGGAAAGGAACCAAAGAUUGUUAAUGGCCCUGAAGUCCUGAGCAAAUUUGUUGGUGAAACUGAGAAGAAUGUUAGAGACCUAUUUGCAGAUGCUGAGAAUGAUCAAAGGACGCGUGGUGAUGAGAGUGAUUUGCAUGUCAUAAUUUUUGAUGAAAUUGAUGCUAUUUGUAAGUCAAGAGGCUCAACUAGAGAUGGUACUGGAGUUCACGACAGCAUUGUGAACCAGCUUCUUACCAAGAUAGAUGGUGUGGAGUCUCUAAACAAUGUUUUGCUUAUCGGAAUGACCAACAGAAAGGAUCUACUUGAUGAGGCCCUUUUGAGGCCAGGACGUUUGGAGGUUCAAGUAGAGAUAAGUCUUCCAGAUGAGAAUGGUCGUUUUCAGAUUCUUCAGAUCCACACAAACAAGAUGAAAGAGAACUCUUUUCUUGCUCCUGAUGUUAACCUUCAAGAACUUGCUGCUCGUACAAAGAAUUACAGUGGAGCAGAGCUUGAAGGUGUUGUGAAAAGUGCGGUGUCUUUUGCUUUGAAUAGACAAGUAAGUAUGGAUGAUCUUACCAAGCCAGUGGAUGAAGAGAACAUUAAGGUUACAAUGGAUGAUUUUCUCAAUGCACUCCUGGAAAUCGUUCCUGCAUUUGGAGCCUCAACUGAUGACCUUGAACAAUGCAGACUUAAUGGCAUGGUGGAUUGUGGUGACCGGCACAAGCACAUUUAUCAGAGAGCCAUGCUACUGGUAGAGCAGGUCAAAGUAAGCAAAGGAAGUCCUCUGGUCACUUGUCUUCUAGAAGGGUCAAGUGGAAGUGGCAAAACAGCAUUGGCAGCUACUGUUGGCAUUGACAGUGAUUUCCCAUAUGUCAAGAUAGUCUCUGCUGAAUCUAUGAUCGGUCUUCAUGAGAGUACAAAAUGUGCUCAGAUUGUCAAGGUAUUUGAGGAUGCGUACAAGUCACCCUUGAGCAUCAUCAUCCUUGAUGACAUAGAAAGGCUACUGGAGUAUGUUGCUAUUGGGCCCCGUUUUUCAAAUAUAAUUUCUCAGACAUUGUUGGUCCUUCUCAAACGUCUUCCUCCUAAGGGGAAAAAACUUCUGGUGUUUGGGACAACCAGUGAGAUUACCUUCUUAGAUUCAGUUGGCAUUUGUGAUGCGUUCUCUGUCACCUACCAUCUUCCUACACUGAAGACAGCUGAUGCAAAGAAGGUUUUGAAACAACUGAACGUAUUUGCUGAAGGAGAUGUCGAUGCAGCUGCAGAAGCCCUGAAUGAUAUGCCUAUCAAGAAGCUGUAUAUGUUGAUUGAGAUGGCAGCGCAAGGAGAGCAAGGUGGAGCAGCAGAGGCAAUCUACUCAGGGAAGGAAAAGAUUAAGAUAUCUCACUUUUAUGAUUGCCUCCAGGAUGUAGUCCGGGUCUAAUUCACACGUUUUGUUCAUUUUUACAAUCUGGUCGUUUUCUCAUACACUCUGCAUACACCUUCAUUUUUCUACUUGGUUUCUCCAUUCCUCUCCCGUCAGUUCCCUUUUUUCUUUGUGUUUGACGAUUUGUAGACAUUGGUUGAAGGUCAUGGGAGAACUUAUGUUGGGAAGUUUUUUUCCGGGCCUUUGUUUGCUGCAGCUGCAUUUCAGCUCUUGAUAAUCCCAAAGGUGCUUUCAGCUCAGUUGAUCCAAUGCAUGAGGUAGGCCUAAAAACAACGCCGCGGUGUAAAAUGAAGUACAUUUGUCUUCAUCUUCUGUGUUGCAUUGAAUAUAGUUUAUUUUUCAGUAAACAUCUGAACGUAUAUAUCUGUAGAUUUCGAUCCAUAUUAUUCCAUGCAUAAACAAUGUUAAAUAGCCCA